rnacentral:rRNA from 1 species
GCGAAUGGCUCAUUAAAUCAGCUAUGGUUUACAGGACCGUACUUGUUAAAUGGAUAACUGUAAUAACUCUAGAGCUAAUACAUGCAACUAUGCCCUGACCCGCAAGGGGAUGGGUGCACUUAUUAGAUCAGAAGCCAACCGGGCAUCAGUCGCAAGGCUGUUGUCUGUUGUUUUUCUGGUGACUCUGGAUAAUUGUUACAGAUCGCAGUCGGCCAUGAGUCGGCGACGGGUCCUUCAAAUGUCUGCCCUAUCAACUUUCGAUGGUAGGUGACCUGCCUACCAUGGUGAUAACGGGUAACGGGGAAUCAGGGUUCGAUUCCGGAGAGGGAGCCUGAGAAACGGCUACCACUUCCAAGGGAGGCAGCAGGCGCGCAAAUUACCCACUUCCAGUACGGGGAGGUGGUGACGAAAAAUACCGAUGCGGGCCUCCGAAAUGAGGCUCCGUAAUCGGAAUGAGUGAACUAUAAAUCCUUUCACAAGGAUCAAUUGGAGGGCAAGUCUGGUGCCAGCAGCCGCGGUAACUCCAGCUCCAAUAGCGUAUAUUAAAGUUGCUGCAGUUAAAAAGCUCGUAGUUGGAUCUCGGUAUCACUGCUGUCUCUCAAUCAUUGGGGCGUUGGCCUAUUGGUGUAUGGGUUUUCCCUGUAUCAUAGUGUCGGCUGCUUCGGGUUGGCGAGGCAGCGGUGUCACCUUUCAGCCAUGUCUGUGUGGAUAAUCCCGCAGGUGCGGGCGAGUGACAGGCGGUGCCAUGCUGCUGUAGGGUCCGUCGGCUCGUCUUCAUGCCUUUGGAUGCCCUUUAAAAGGUGUCUGUUGGCGGAUGGCACGUUUACUUUGAACAAAUUUGAGUGCUCAAACCAGGCCGCUGUUGCCUGAAAAGUUUUGCAUGGAAUAAUGGAAUAGGACUUCGGUUCUAUUUCGUUGGUUUUCGGAUCCGAAGUAAUGAUCAAAAGAGACAAGCGGGGACGUUUGUAUGGCUGCGCUAGAGGUGAAAUUCUUGGACCGUAGCCAGACAGACUAAAGCGAAAGCAUUCGUCAAGCAUGUUUUCAUUGACCAUGAGCGAAAGUCAGAGGCUCGAAGACGAUCAGAUACCGUCCUAGUUCUGACCAUAAACGAUACCAACUGACGAUCCGUGGUGGUAGAAUUUAAACCUUCCUCACGGGCAGUCCCCGGGAAACCAUUAAGUCUAUGGGUUCCGGGGGAAGUAUGGUUGCAAAGCUGAAACUUAAAGGAAUUGACGGAAGGGCACCACCAGGAGUGGAGCCUGCGGCUUAAUUUGACUCAACACGGGAAAACUCACCCGGCCCGGACACUAUGAGGAUUGACAGAUUGAAAGCUCUUUUCUUGAUUUGGUGAUUGGUGGUGCAUGGCCGUUCUUAGUUGGUGGAGCGAUUUGUCUGGUUAAUUCCGAUAACGAACGAGACUCCAACCUGCUAAUUAGUUCUCCUGUCCACUGUAUCUGUGCAGGUGAGCGUUGCCGAUUCUGCUCUAUACGGCUUUCACGGUCGGCGCUAGUAUGAUGAGAUGGACGGGAUCGUAAGGUUCAGUUUGUCGAGUCUGCUAGUGCUGGUUGCGGUUGCUUGAGUGGGAUGGGUGGCGUUAAGCUUCCGGGUACGGCGCAGUGUCUACUUCUUAGAGGGACAAGCGGGAGAAACCGCACGAAAUUGAGCAAUAACAGGUCUGUGAUGCCCUUAGAUGUCCGGGGCCGCACGCGCGCUACAAUGGCGGUGGCAACGAGUCUGACCUUCUGGCCCGAAAGGGUUGGGCAAACUGGUCAAUCACCGUCAUGACAGGGAUCGGGGCUUGGAAUUGUUCCCCGUGAACGAGGAAUUCCUAGUAAGUGCAAGUCAUAAGCUUGCGCUGAUUACGUCCCUGCCCUUUGUACACACCGCCCGUCGCUACUACCGAUUGAAUGGUUUAGUAAGGUCCUUGGAUUGGCACGAUUGCAGCCGCAAGGCUCAGACGGUGCUGAGAAGACGACCGAACUUGAUCAUUUAGAGGAAGUAAAAGUCGUAACAAG